rnacentral:rRNA from 1 species
GAUGAACGCUGGCGGCGUGCCUAACACAUGCAAGUCGAACGGAGUCGUUUUGGAAAUCUCUUCGGAGAUGGAAUUCUCGACUUAGUGGCGGACGGGUGAGUAACGCGUGAGCAAUCUGCCUUUAAGAGGGGGAUAACAGUCGGAAACGGCUGCUAAUACCGCAUAAAGCAUUAAAUUCGCAUGUUUUUGAUGCCAAAGGAGCAAUCCGCUUUUAGAUGAGCUCGCGUCUGAUUAGCUAGUUGGCGGGGUAACGGCCCACCAAGGCGACGAUCAGUAGCCGGACUGAGAGGUUGAACGGCCACAUUGGGACUGAGACACGGCCCAGACUCCUACGGGAGGCAGCAGGGGGGAAUAUUGCGCAAUGGGGGAGACCCUGACGCAGCAACGCCGCGUGAUUGAAGAAGGCCUUCGGGUUGUAAAGAUCUUUAAUCAGGGACGAAACAAAUGACGGUACCUGAAGAAUAAGCGCCGGCUAACUACGUG